rnacentral:rRNA from 1 species
CGAAAGCCUGACGGAGCAAGACCGCGUGGGGGAGGAAGGCUCUUGGGUUGUAAACCCCUUUUCUCAGGGAAGAACAAAUGACGGUACCUGAGGAAUCAGCCUCGGCUAACUCCGUGCCAGCAGCCGCGGUAAGACGGAGGAUGCGAGUGUUAUCCGGAAUUAUUGGGCGUAAAGCGUCCGCAGGUGGCAAUUCAAGUCUGCUGUCAAAGCACGGGGCUUAACUCCGUAAAGGCAGUGGAAACUUAAUAGCUAGAGUGCCGUAGGGGUAGAGGGAAUUCCCGGUGUAGCGGUGAAAUGCGUAGAGAUCGGGAAGAACAUCGGUGGCGAAAGCGCUCUACUGGACGGCAACUGACACUCAGGGACGAAAGCUAGGGGAGCG